UUCCUCGUCAUCACCCGAUUCCAUCGACGAGUUAUAGCUCCGUCGACCGCGCCGCCGCUUCUCCGCCCCGUCACCGCGGCGGUGAAUCCAUUCAUCCGGCCAUGAGAUCUCCUCCGACUUCCGGUUCUCCAUGCCCGUCUCCCUCUCCCCUCCUCCGGCCAUUCUUCCACCCCUUCCUCCUCGGUCUCAUCCUCGUUGGCCGCCGUCAAGCUCGUCUUCCGCCGCUUACAACCACUUCCAUGUCCGCCGGUCUCUACUCGUUCCCCUCUAGCCACGCCUCUCGCUUCUUCUUCGUCGCUGUGUCCGUUCACUUCUUAUCUUUAGCCGCCGCAGCUUAGGUGAGUUGUGUUGGUAGGGAUCAUGCGAUGGCGACGUGAAAGAGGAGGUCGUUGCCGUUGUGUGGGCUUGGGCGGCUGUGUCCGCCAUUUCUAGGGCUAUUUUCGGGCGGCAUUUUGUGCUGGAUUUUGCUGCUGGUGCGUGCUCGGGGGAUUAUGGAGGCUCUCUCCGCGCUUCGGUUUCUGAGAUUGGAGAUCUUUGGAAGGUUUCGACAGUUCUUGUAUGACAUUAACGUUCGAAACGGCAGGAGCUCGGGUAUAUUCUUUAGAGGUGCAAAAGCUGCAACACCUUAGAUGACCACACCAGAUUCUCAUUGUCAGUAACUUUGGAUGUUUAAGGGCCCGCGACUGGAGUGUUCUUCACUCGUGGAGUAAAUUCACAAUUUCUGCAGGGACUUGGUUGAUAAGACGGAGGAAACAGAGACAGGCUUAGAUGGGGAGGAGGUGUAAAGCAAUGCCCCCAUUUCAAUUCAAUGGAAAUGACCACAGGGCUCCUGGUACGCAUCUUCUUGUCCUCUUGGGUCAAAUUUUGGGUUAAACCGGUCUUCUUGACCCAAAUUGUUAAUCGAACCAAAAUUUUCGGUUUGCCAGAGUUUUGAUACCCAAAACCAGACUGAACACCUUGCUUGCUUUCAUAACCCUUAGUCCCUUAGUAUGCCAUUGUUGUGUUCCGGGCAAACUGAUUGACAAAACCAAACUGAAAUAAGAACUCUAGUUUGCCCAAACUUUGAUUUCGGUUUAGUUUGGAGCUUGUCUGGGUUCAAGCAUCUGACUCUUGAAGAUGUUUCACUUUCAUUUUGGACUGAUAUAACAACAAUUCAUGACACAUUACUGGGUCUAGAUUACAUUUUCUUUUUAGAUCUGUGAUGAACCGGAAACCAGAAGACUGGACUGGAGUCGAAGGGUUUGAUUAGGUUCGGUAUAAGUUCAUCUGGUUUCUAGUAUUUAUACCAAACUUUGGAAUGGGGUUUUGAUCAUUUAAUGACAUUAUUGGUUGCUUAUGUUGUUUUCCCUGUGUUUUGGUGUUGCAAAAGCAGAGGCAAACAAAGUUGGAUGGUACAUUAUGAUUAUUCAACAAUACCCACCAUUUUGGAAACUUUUCUCCAUUCACAUGGUUACUCCUGUAGAAUCACCCACUUAUUCAACAACCCUUAAUGAUGCUAAUUAAG